AGAGUUUGAUCAUGGCUCAGGACGAACGCUGGCGGCGUGCCUAACACAUGCAAGUCAAGGGCUACCCUCGGGUAGCACUGGCGCACGGGUGAGUAACGCGUGGGUAAUCUGCCCCUAUCUCUGACACAACAUCGAGAAAUCGGUGCUAAUAUCAGAUGAGGCCCGCAAGGGUCAAAGACCGCGAGGUUGGAUAGGGAUGAGCCUGCGUCCGAUUAGCUAGUUGGUAGGGUAAUGGCCUACCAAGGCGACGAUCGGUAGCUGGUCUGAGAGGAUGGUCAGCCACACUGGAACUGAGACACGGUCCAGACUCCUACGGGAGGCAGCAGUGAGGAAUAUUGCGCAAUGGGCGAAAGCCUGACGCAGCGACGCCGCGUGUGGGAUGAAGGAGCUUUGCUUCGUAAACCACUGUCGGACGGGAAGAAAAAGUUCCUACGGGGGCUUGGGACAGUACCGUCAGAGGAAGCACCGGCUAACUACGUGCCAGCAGCCGCGGUAAUACGUAGGGUGCGAGCGUUGUCCGGAAUUACUGGGUGUAAAGAGUGCGUAGGCGGGCAUGUGCGUCGGAGGUUAAAUACAACGGCUUAACCGUUGAACUGCCUUCGAAACGGCAUGUCUUGAAUGUGGGAGAGGAUGAUGGAAUUCCUGGUGUAGCGGUGAAAUGCGUAGAUAUCUGGAAGAACACCAGUAGCGAAGGCGGUCACCUGGCCCAAUACUGACGCUGAGGCUCGAAAGCUGGGGGAGCAAACAGGAUUAGAUACCCUGGUAGUCCCAGCCGUAAACGAUGGACACUAGUUGCCGGGAGAGUCAAUCCUUUCGGUGACGAAGCUAACGCAUUAAGUGUCCCGCCUGGGAAGUACGCCCGCAAGGGUGAAACUCAAAUGAAUUGACGG
rnacentral:rRNA from 1 species